AACGAACGCUGGCGGCAUGCCUAACACAUGCGAGUCGAACGAGACCUUCGGGUCUAGUGGCGCACGGGUGCGUAACGCGUGGGAACCUGCCCUUAGGUUCGGAAUAACUCCCCGAAAGGGGUGCUAAUACCGGAUAAUGUCUUCGGACCAAAGAUUUAUCGCCUUUGGAUGGGCCCGCGUUGGAUUAGCUAGUUGGUAGGGUAAAAGCCUACCAAGGCGACGAUCCAUAGCUGGUCUGAGAGGAUGAUCAGCCACACUGGGACUGAGACACGGCCCAGACUCCUACGGGAGGCAGCAGUGGGGAAUAUUGGACACUGGGCGAAAGCCUGAUCCAGCAAUGCCGCGUGAGUGAUGAAGGCCUUAGGGUUGUAAAGCUCUUUUACCCGGGAUGAUAAUGACAGUACCGGGAGAAUAAGCUCCGGCUACCUCCGU
rnacentral:rRNA from 1 species